GGUGGGCCUUCUCUGCGGUCGGGCCUCGCUGCGGGUCAGUCUGGAGUUCUCGCGAGGAAGGGCGUGGGGAUUUCAGAGAGGCGCGGGCCAGUGCUGGCCGCCUCGCUCAGAAUAGCUGCCUUCCCCCGCCUCGCUUGGCCGUUUGUGGUGUUUGUAAUUGCCGAAGGUAGGGACUACCUAAACAUGCUGUGACCGAUCUCUAAUGUGAAAACAAAUAGCCUAGCAACCCAGCUAGCUAACGAGAUGUCGCAGAAAACCAAACGAACAAACCACUGGCUGUGUUUCAGGAUCUCUAAGAGCUCUUCUAAUGAAGGACCAGAGUGACUCCAUUUUUUUGUGGGGCGACUCCAUUUUGUUAAACCCACCUUGCUGAGAAUCGGUACCAUUUCAAGGAGAUCUCUUCUCUACUUUUAUCUAUGCUGCUCUGGCCCAAAGGAGCUCAAGAGGUUAGGAGGCCGACCUUCAUAGACUGCAUCAGUGAGCUCUUAUCUUCUGGCCUUGGGUUCAGCUACAUUCAUGAUCAGGAGAUCAGAAGCCGCAGAGAGAAGAAGCUGCCCAAGAAUGGAAAGGAAGAAAUAUAUCACAUCAUCUGUCUGUCCACAGGCUUUCCUUGGGGCUU